ACGUAGGGGGCAAGCGUUAUCCGGAUUUACUGGGUGUAAAGGGAGCGUAGACGGCGACGCAAGUCUGAAGUGAAAUACCCGGGCUCAACCUGGGAACUGCUUUGGAAACUGUGUUGCUAGAGUGCUGGAGAGGUAAGCGGAAUUCCUAGUGUAGUGGUGAAAUGCGUAGAUAUUAGGAAGAACACCAGUGGCGAAGGCGGCUUACUGGACAGUAACUGACGUUGAGGCUCGAAAGCGUGGGGAGCAAACAG
rnacentral:rRNA from 1 species